rnacentral:rRNA from 1 species
UACGUAGGGGGCAAGCGUUGUCCGGAAUCAUUGGGCGUAAAGCGCGUGUAGGCGGCCCGGUAAGUCCGCUGUGAAAGUCGAGGGCUCAACCCUCGAAAGCCGGUGGAUACUGUCGGGCUCGAGUACGGGAGAGGCGAGUGGAAUUCCUGGUGUAGCGGUGAAAUGCGCAGAUAUCAGGAGGAACACCGAUUGCGAAGGCAGCUCGCUGGAACGUAACUGACGCUGAGACGCGAAAGCGUGGGGAGCAAACAGG